AUACUAACAAUGUGCAGGAAUACCGUGAUCAAGAAGGCGGUGUUCCCAGUUCUAGCUACCCUAUCACUGCACUAUGAUUGGGUAGAGGACUGUGUGUAUCCGUUAAUCGGGUGCGCGAGCACACAAUUUUUUGUAAGGUGGACCUGCGUUCGCGCUUGUCCGCC